AUUGAACGCUGGCGGCAUGCCUUACACAUGCAAGUCGAACGGUAACGGGCCUUCGGGUGCCGACGAGUGGCGAACGGGUGAGUAAUACAUCGGAACGUGCCCGAUCGUGGGGGAUAACGAGGCGAAAGCUUUGCUAAUACCGCAUACGAUCUACGGAUGAAAGCAGGGGACCGCAAGGCCUUGCGCGGACGGAGCGGCCGAUGGCAGAUUAGGUAGUUGGUGGGAUAAAAGCUUACCAAGCCGACGAUCUGUAGCUGGUCUGAGAGGAUGAUCAGCCACACUGGGACUGAGACACGGCCCAGACUCCUACGGGAGGCAGCAGUGGGGAAUUUUGGACAAUGGGCGCAGGCCUGAUCCAGCCAUGCCGCGUGCAGGAUGAAGGCCUUCGGGUUGUAAACUGCUUUUGUACGGAACGAAAAGCCUUCUUUUAAUACAGGAGGGUCAUGACGGUACCGUAAGAAUAAGCACCGGCUAACUACGUG
rnacentral:rRNA from 1 species